GCCUACGGGAGGCAGCAGUAGGGAAUCUUCCGCAAUGGGCGAAAGCCUGACGGAGCAACGCCGCGUGAGUGAUGAAGGUUUUCGGAUCGUAAAGCUCUGUUGCCAGGGAAGAACGUCUCGUAGAGUAUCUGCUACAAGAGUGACGGUACCUGAGAAGAAAGCCCCGGCUAACUACGUGCCAGCAGCCGCGAUAAUACGUAGGGGGCAAGCGUUGUCCGGAAUUAUUGGGCGUAAAGCGCGCGCAGGCGGCUCUUUAAGUCUGGUGUAUAAUCCCGAGGCUCAACUUCGGGUCGCACUGGAAACUGGGGAGCUUGAGUGCAGAAGAGGAGAGUGGAAUUCCACGUGUAGCGGUGAAAUGCGUAGAUAUGUGGAGGAACACCAGUGGCGAAGGCGACUCUCUGGGCUGUAACUGACGCUGAGGCGCGAAAGCGUGGGGAGCAAACAGGAUUAGAUACCCGUGUAGUCCC
rnacentral:rRNA from 1 species